rnacentral:misc_RNA from 1 species
GAUGAAGAACGUAGCGAAAUGCGAUACGUAAUGUGAAUUGCAGAUUUCAGUGAAUCAUCGAAUCUUUGAACGCACAUUGCGCCCGCCAGUAUUCUGGCGGGCAUGCCUGUUCGAGCGUCAUUUCAACCAUCAAGCCCUAGGCUUGCGUUGGAGCCCUGCGGCUGCCGCAGGCUCCCAAAUCCAGUGGCGGGCUCGUCGUCGUACCGAGUGCAGUAAACAUCCUCGCUCAGGGAACGUGACGGGUUCUUGCCGUGAAACCCCCCACAUAUCAAGGUUGACCUCGGAUCAGGUAGGAAUACCCGCUGAACUUAAGCAUAUCAAUAAGCGGAGGA